rnacentral:rRNA from 1 species
UACGUAGGGUGCAAGCGUUGUCCGGAAUUAUUGGGCGUAAAGGGCUCGUAGGCGGUCUGUCGCGUCGGUAGUGAAAACUCAGGGCUUAACCCUGAGCCUGCUUCCGAUACGGGCAGACUAGAGGUAUGCAGGGGAGAAUGGAAUUCCUGGUGUAGCGGUGAAAUGCGCAGAUAUCAGGAGGAACACCGGUGGCGAAGGCGGGUCUCUGGGCCGAUACUGACGCUGAGGAGCGAAAGCGUGGGGAGCGAACAGG